GACGAACGCUGGCGGCGUGCUUAACACAUGCAAGUCGAACGAUGAAGCUGGAGCUUGCUCCGGUGGAUUAGUGGCGAACGGGUGAGUAACACGUGAGCAAUCUGCCCUUGACUCUGGGAUAACUGCGGGAAACUGUAGCUAAUACCGGAUACGAGGCUCGAAGGCAUCUUCGGGUCUGGAAAGAAUUUCGGUCAAGGAUGAGCUCGCGGCCUAUCAGCUUGUUGGUGAGGUAAUGGCUCACCAAGGCGACGACGGGUAGCCGGCCUGAGAGGGUGACCGGCCACACUGGGACUGAGACACGGCCCAGACUCCUGCGGGAGGCAGCAGUGGGGAAUAUUGCACAAUGGGCGAAAGCGUGAUGCAGCAGCGCCGCGUGAGGGAUGAAGGCCUUCGGGUUGUAAACCUCUUUUAGCAGGGAAGAAGCGAAAGUGACGGUACCUGCAGAAAAAGCACCGGCUAACUACGUGCCAGCCGCCGCCGUAA
rnacentral:rRNA from 1 species